rnacentral:lncRNA from 1 species
AAUCGGACUUCAACAGUGCCAACCAGACCCCUCCAAUGGACAAAUUUCUUCCGAACCCCUCCAACGGUCGACCUUCCACAGUGUCCUCCAUACUCCUCCAGCGGACGAACUUCCACAACACCUUUCGGAUUCUUCUAUCGGUCAACCUUCUAUAGUGCCUUCUGAAUUCCGCUAUCGGUUGACCUUCUGCCGGAUUCCUCAUGCAACCGGACCUCUCCUGCGGACAGUCUUUAGACAAGCUUCUACAUCAGACAAAUUUCAG